AUAAAGUGCUGAGAUACAGUGUUGGAGAUGCUAUAUUAUUAUACUAUUACAUUAUGAAGUAUGGGACACUGUGAAGUAAAGAUUAAUUUUGCCAACCUUGUAGCAUUUUCAACCAUUCUAUUUUUUUACUUUUUUUUUUAUCCCUUAGACUUCUUUUACUGAUCAUAUCAUCCCUUUAAAGGAAUUAAUUCACCGACUGCUUUGCUUUCUGCCAACCUAAAAGGACCAAUUAUUACCUUUUUUACGUCAAUACAAUUGAGUGAGCCUCAGAGUAACCAGUGGCCGUCUCGUCUGUUUAAAUUUUUUGUUGUGUUUCAAUACAAAUCACUGCACCAUUUAUUUUCCUAAAAUCGCACAGAGUAAUUUCUAUUAGACCAGAUGCAUACAGUAGGGCUAGUCUUAUUGUGCCAUGUCUCAUGUUCUUAUAGCCACCCUCCAUUCCCACUGUAUUUAUUGCCAUGUCUCUCAUUAUAAACUAGUGUGGUGUCUGAUAAGGCACCCUAUUCCCUAUGCACUAUAUCGGGUUCUAUUUCAGACGCAACCUGUCCUGUUAUGUAAUUAUUUUUUAUUUUUUUUAAAGCAAAAAUGUAUGUUCCAAAUAAAGCCUAUUCCUUGGUUCUCCAAGCUUUCAUAGUCCAUUGUCAACUUUAUUUGCACUGUCUUCCAAUCUUUUAUCAAAUUUCCUCUAUAUAAAUCGGUAAUGUAAUUGAACCAGAAUUAAAUGACAUGCCUGAAGCAGGAAGUAUUUUUCCACAUUGUGAUCCUGAUUGGCAUUUGCCCUUUAAUACUAACUGGCUUGCAGGACUUUGGAUUUCAUUAGGAGGGCAUGCUAGUCUUGUACAUUUUAUGAUGACAAAUUGGAACAUCGCUGAGCUUUGGUUGUAUAUUAAAACUAUUCAUAUAGACCUAAAAUUACUCUCAAUAUUCCGUUUGAGGCUUUAGCCACAGUGGAUGUCUCUGAGACGGCUUUUGGAAAGCAGCCCUCUGCCUGAAUCGAUGUCCCACAGUGCAGACUGUUGUAACUGCUCUGAGUGGAAAAGCAGUUUGUCUCAAAAGUGAAACAAAAAUAAGUCUGCAAAAUAAAGUCCUAGGAUUUGUCUGGGCUAAUAGUGUUCUAGUCAAAAGUAUUGCACUACGUAGGGAAUAGGAUGCCAUUACUGACACUCCCACUGGCUGAAGAGAAACUUGCCUGAUAUGCCCCUCCAUAUAUCAAUUACUGACCAUUUUUAGUCAUGUACUGUUAAAAAUGAAUCAUUAAAAUGUUAAUUGCAGUCUGUGUGGCCUAAAUAAAUAACUGCAUUUAUGCUGCUUCUCGUGAAUUGUUUUUCAAUUGUGACAGUAAAGUAGAGCUUGAUUAACUGUUCCAAUGGCUUGGCCAGAGAUCCAACCCAAUAAACAACCAUGACAGAGGACAAGCAGCUCAGCCAGCAUCCACAGACAUUUGGAAACUGAAUUUAAUUAAGCUAAGCUUUGCUGCUCUUUCUUUUUGUCCCACUCCUGAAUGGAAUAAGCAGAAGAAAGGCUGAACUGAAAGCAAUGUGAUGAGUGUGUUUUGAGAACUAGCAUUCCUGUGUUCUGGGAAAGGGAUGGUUGAGUGAGUCAGUUCUGAGGGUGGCUGUCUGUGUUAUGGACAUGGUGUGUGUGUGUGGAGCGUUAGUGUUGGACAUGGUCUGCAAAAAGGCGAUGUAUGGUAAUUCACUCAAGGCCUCAAUCUGGAUGGAAUGUUAAGAGCUGCAGCAUAUGGUUUACUGGCUUUGUAAAGGCAGACCUAACAUAUUGUGUUACACGCCACACCAUUAACUUUUAGUGGAAAUGCAUGUACAAAGUGUUUCUCCUUUGAGUCCACAAUUAAAUAUUAAGUACAUCGCUCAAGGUCUUAUAAUUCUUGAAAUCCACUUGUUUGCUUUCCAUAGUCAAAUUCACACUAUCACAGUUUAUGAAUCAUGCCUACUUAUACACUGCGUCAACAGCGUCAUAGUUAUUGGUAGCUGACCUCUUGUGUCCAGCCUUGUGAAGAGCUAGUCAAACAGACUGUGUGUCCAUACUGGGCUUCGUAACACCAAG
rnacentral:lncRNA from 13 species